GGUAGUGUGGCCAAGCAGUCUAAGGCACUGGAUUAAGGCUCCAGUCUCUUUGGGGGCAUGGGUUCAAAUCCCACCACUACCA